AGGCUUCUAUUCCUCAUAUACUCGUAGACGAUUAGCUUUGAGUUUGAACCGGAGAUGCAGCAUAGAAGCUUGACGAUGUUGCUAUGGCGGAUCGAUCCAAGAAUUCCUACCUCUGCUUCGAACUCCUUCUCGUGUUUAGAAUCGGCGGGUUUGUUGCUCCAUAUCUUCUUCACAGCCACAGCCUCGCCGGAUCCAGUAACUGUUUGGAUCAGGUACACUUGACCGGACCCGCCUGUUCCUAUUAGGUUUUCUGGUUUGAGUCCGUUUAGUAUUGUUUUUUCUGUGAUUCCAGUGGAGACGAAG
rnacentral:lncRNA from 1 species